rnacentral:ncRNA from 1 species
CCGGCACCGGUUCACGUCCUCGGGCGACCCGGCGGCC